rnacentral:rRNA from 1 species
UACGUAGGGUGCAAGCGUUAAUCGGAAUUACUGGGCGUAAAGCGUGCGCAGGCGGUUUUGUAAGACUGUCGUGAAAUCCCCGGGCUUAACCUGGGAAUGGCGAUGGUGACUGCAAGGCUAGAGUUUGGCAGAGGGGGGUAGAAUUCCACGUGUAGCAGAGAAAUGCGUAGAUAUGUGGAGGAACACCGAUGGCGAAGGCAGCCCCCUGGGUCAAAACUGACGCUCAUGCACGAAAGCGUGGGGAGCAAACAGG